GCAACCGGAGGUGUGACGUGUCACAGCAGGGUGUCGGUGUCCAGUGUGACGUAUCUACGCGCGGAAGAUCCGAACACUGCGAUCACACCAGCGCUGCUUUAAACACCACGGCGGUGAACCGAGGGUUGAGUCCUCCCUUCAAGGCAUCGACUCCGUCAACUCUUCAGCCCUGGUAACCUGACCCUGCAUUUCUGUCUCCAUUCUCGCUACGUGACUGUGUUUCAGCCUGUUCCCAAACUCCUGCCUGUCUGCCUGCUGAGAGCCUGCUCGCUGGGAGACCACCUGAACACCAAGGGCUGUCAGCUUGCAGCCAAACUACUCUGACAACGCCUGAUCCCGCCUGAUCUCAGAAGCUAAGCAGGGCCAGGCCUGGUUAGUACUUGGAUGGGAGACCUCAGCCGUCACCACCAGCCAUCCCUGCCUCUCAGUCCUCCUGCCACUGAACUUCUCACACACAUCCUCCCAACUCCCUUUCCCCUGCUAUCAAUAAAUUCUACGUUUAACUUGCA